UACGGGGGGGGUAAGCGUUGUUCGGAUUUACUGGGCGUAAAGGGCGCGUAGGCGGUAGCACAAGUCAGUUGUGAAAUCUCCGGGCUUAACUCGGAAAGGUCAACUGAUACUGUGCGACUAGAGUGCAGAAGGGGCAACUGGAAUUCUCGGUGUAGCGGUGAAAUGCGUAGAUAUCGAGAGGAACACCUGCGGCGAAGGCGGGUUGCUGGGCUGACACUGACGCUGAUGCGCGAAAGCCAGGGGAGCGAACGGG
rnacentral:rRNA from 1 species